AUACGGAGGGUGCAAGCGUUAUCCGGAUUCACUGGGUUUAAAGGGUGCGUAGGCGGGCAGGUAAGUCAGUGGUGAAAGCCGGUAGCUUAACUAUCGAAAUGCCAUUGAUACUGCUAGGCUUGAGUACAGUUGAGGUAGGCGGAAUUGACAGUGUAGCGGUGAAAUGCUUAGAUAUUGUCAAGAACACCAAUUGCGAAGGCAGCUUACUAAAGUGUAACUGACGCUGAGGCACGAAAGUGCGGGGAUC
rnacentral:rRNA from 1 species